rnacentral:rRNA from 1 species
AACAAACGCUGGCGGCGUGCCUAACACAUGCAAGUCGUACGAGAAAGGGUCCUUCGGGGCCUGAGUAAAGUGGCGCACGGGCGAGUAACGCGUGGAUAAUCUGCCCUUCAGUUGGGAAUAACUCAUCGAAAGGUGGGCUAAUACCGAAUAAUGCUGUGAGACCUCGGUUGAUCAGCCAAAGAGAGCCUCUGCUUGCAAGCCCUCGCUGAAGGAUGAGUCCGCGUACCAUUAGCUAGUUGGUAGGGUAAUGGCCUACCCAGGCGACGAUGGUUAGCUGGUCUGAGAGGAUGAUAAGCCACACUGGAACUGAGACACGGUCCAGAAUCCUACGGGAGGCAGCAGUAGGGAAUCUGGCGCAAUGGGGGCAACCCUGACGCAGCAACGCCGCGUGAGUGAGGAAGGUCUUCGGAUCGUAAAGCUCUGUCGGAUGGAAAGAACCGCAUAGGGGUAAACAGCCCCUGUGUCUGACGGUACCAUCAAAGGAAGCACCGGCUAACUCCGUGCCAGCCGCCGCGGUAAGAC